UACGUAGGGGGCUAGCGUUGUCCGGAAUCAUUGGGCGUAAAGAGCGUGUAGGCGGCCCGGUAAGUCCGCUGUAAAAGUCAAAGGCUCAACCUUUGAAUGUCAGUGGAUACUGUCGGGCUAGAGUCCGGAAGAGGCGAGUGGAACUCCUGGUGUAGCGGUGGAAUGCGCAGAUAUCAGGAAGAACACCAAUAGCGAAGGCAGCUCGCUGGGACGUUACUGACACUGAGGCGCGAAAGCGUGGGGAGCGAACAGG
rnacentral:rRNA from 1 species